CUCCUCGUAGUUCAAUGGAUAGAACGGGCGCCUCCUAAGCGCCAGAUACAGGUUCGAUUCCUGUCGAGGGGACCC
rnacentral:tRNA from 1 species